GACGAACGCUGGCGGCGUGCCUAACACAUGCAAGUCGAGCGGGGGGAGUACUUCGGUACAAACCUAGCGGCGGACGGGUGAGUAACACGUGGGUAACCUGCCUCAAAGUGGGGGAUAGCCUUCCGAAAGGAAGAUUAAUACCGCAUAACCCAUAGCUUCCGCAUGGAAGCAAUGGUAAAGAUUUAUCGCUUUGAGAUGGACCCGCGGCGCAUUAGCUAGUUGGUGAGGUAACGGCUCACCAAGGCCACGAUGCGUAGCCGACCUGAGAGGGUGAUCGGCCACAUUGGAACUGAGGCACGGUACAGACUCCUACGGGAGGCAGCAGUGGAGAAUAUUGCACAAUGGGCGAAAGCCUGAUGCAGCAACGCGGCGUGAGUGAUGAAGGCCUUCGGGUUGUAAAGCUCUGUCUUUUGGGACGAUAAUGACGGUACCAAAGGAGGAAGCCACGGUUAACUACGUGCCAGCCGCCGCCGUAAAAC
rnacentral:rRNA from 1 species